GGAAAGGUGUAACUUAGUGGUAGAGCAUCGCUGGUCACAUGCAGAAGGUCCCAGGUUCAAUCUCUGGCAUCUCCA